AGCUGGGAGCCUCCUCCCCUUGUCCCACCUUCUACCCAACAAUGGGAGUCAGUCUUUAUAAAGGAUGAGUUUGGGCUGCAUGUGCCUUCUUCCCAGCCUCCAGAACUGGAAGGAAAUCCAUUCCUGUUCCUUAUGAAUCCCCUGCCUGUGGUGUGUUGCAGCAGCACAGACUGGACCAGGACAGAUAUGUGGCUAUUUGGGCUUCUGUUUCUUCUUGAGUGAGCUUUCAAGGAUUUGUGCGACUCCGUCUGAGUUGUUGAACUCACAGCAUGAGGUUGUCCGUGGUGUUUCUUUGUCAUCCUUUUCCAUCUCUCUCACUCUGACAUUGGUGGUGUGUCUUUCUCGGUUCCUGAUGUGUCUGUCUAGGGUUUAUCAGUUUUAUUGCUUUAGAAGAACCGGUUUUUAGUUCCACUGACAUCUCUGGCCUCUGUUUUCUGGUUCACUGAUUUCUCUCUGAUCUUUAUUAACUUUCAUUUUGGCUUUGGGUUUCUACUCUUUUUCUAGUUAUUUCAGAUUGAAACUGAAGUCAAUGAUUUUAAGAUCUUCUUUUAAAAUAUAGACAUUUUGUGAGUAAGUUUCCUACUUAUAUUCUGCUUAAGAGGCAUUUCACAACUCAUGGUAUAUUAAAACCUUUGUCUACUUCAGAAUACUUUUGAUUUUUUUGACCGUGAAUUAUUUUUAAGUACCAUAUUUUGUUUUCAGAUAUUUAAGGAUUUUCCCAGUAUCUCAAUACUGAGUUCCAGUUUGAUUGCUUUGUGGCCAGAGACCAUACCUGUGAUGAUUUUAAUUCUUUUAAAUUUAUUGAGACUUGUGUUAGGGGUUGAAAAUGGUCUGUCUGGUAGGUGGUUUGAGUUUGCUGUGUCCCUGUUGACUGUGUGCUUCCUCACCCGGUGUCCAGUGUUUUGAAAACCGGUGCAUAUUCAUGCUGCUGCUAGUUCUGAGGGAGGCUAAAUCAGGUCACAUGCUCUAUCCUGACCAGUCAUAGAGAUUGAGUUAGCAGAUUGGAUGGGGAAUUUUACAGUUUGAAAUUUUUGUACAAAUCAGCAUUCUCGGGGAUUAGUGUUUUCCGUAAGGACCAGGAAGUACUUAUUUUUGGCUUUGCUGUCCAUUUUCUGGGCUGCAGCUACUCAGGUCUGCCACUGUAACAGGAAAGCAGCCCAGGACAGUGUGGAAAUGGAAGGACAUGGUCAUGGCCCAGCUUAGCUUCAUUUGCAGAAGUAGGUAGUGCAGUAGGUCACAUCUGGCCUGGAGGCCAUGGUUUGCAACUCCUGGCUUAGUUUGCCAUUUGUGUUUGUCCCUCUAUUAUUCCUAUUUAUUUGUCUUUAUUUUAUAAGCCAUCACAUUAGCUUGGAAGUCAGUGGAUUUGUAUGUAAUUAUUGUCUUGAAUUUAAUAGUAUUUUGUUUAAAAAUUAAGUAGUGUGUUCAAAAUAGAACCAAACAGCGGACAGGGAAUAUAUAGCCAAACCCACAGAUGAUUCCUUCCCUGUGACUGGGAGUCUAGCCUGAGACAGCAUCGGGCUGUGGGCAGGCUGCUUGGGAGAAGCAGAAAGCCAGCUUGCCCAGCAUCAGAGCUGCCCGGUACGCACACCCCCUGCUGUGGUGCCAGCUGCUAGGAAGGCAAUUCUGAGUGCUGUGGGUGGUGCCGCAGGGCUCUUGGCACCCACUGCAGCCUGCACGGGCACACAGGGAAAGCGUUGUGGGAAGAAGAGCCCAGCAGGCUGCCUUGGGGGGUCAGGGACAGCUUCUUUCUCUUUUUAAAUAUUUCUGGGUUGUGAUGGUUACUUGAAACAAACAAAAUUAGAAUACAGACUCAUGCUUGCUUCCCCGUUUCAGUGCCCCCCCACCACCACCACCGGGAGGAUGUCAGGCUGUUUAUUUGCAGGUGGGUGAGAAAGGCAGGAGCGCUUUCGUGGUGAGGAUUCCUUCAGGGGCCAAGGGUUCUGCAGAGAAGGCCGGCUUGAAGUCAGGAAGGGAGAGCUGAGUUUAUUCUGCAGCCCCAUUUGUGGGUGUGGUGGCCUGCAGCCCUGUAAUCAGUUGUUGGGGAAGCUGAAGCAGGAAGGUCCCAGGUUUAAGACAGCCUGGGCAAUCUGCCUCAAACAAAUGGACAGGACUGUAGGUGUGGCUCGGUGGCAGAGCACUGGGUUCAGUUCCCAGUGCCAAAAAAGGAAGGAAGGAAGAAAGAGCAUCUGCGGGUCUCCGCAGCUCCCAGCAGGCAGCUGCGUGAAGGGCACAGAGUGAGCCUCCCCCUGACUGCGUGAGGAAGUGUCCAGCACCCAGGCCAGCCCCAGCCUUCUUCUAGCCCCUGCGCAGCUGGGGCCGCGUCUGGAACCUGAUGCGAGUGGAGUUGCAUGGCUGGCCCUCCCUCUGAGCCACCCAUGCCACUCGUGUGGUCACACACAGUGGGCUGUCGUCCUUGCUUUGUAGUGUCCCACAUGUGCAUGUGUCACCUGCAUUUGUCCAUCUUCCUUGGGUGGGUGGACAUCUGGCCGUCUUCAGCUGGCCUUUCACACAGGGCUACUCGGAAACCC
rnacentral:lncRNA from 1 species